rnacentral:rRNA from 1 species
AGUCGAGCGUGAAGUCCUUCGGGAUGAGUAAAGCGGCGGACGGGUGAKUAAUACGCAGGAAUCUACCUGAUAGUGGGGGAUAACGUUUCGAAAGGAACGCUAAUACCGCAUACGUUCUGAGGAAGAAAGCAGGGGCUCGUAAGACCUUGCGCUACCAGAUGAGCCUGCGUCCGAUUAGCUAGUUGGUGGGGUAAAGGCCUACCAAGGCGACGAUCGGUAACUGGUCUGAGAGGAUGAUCAGUCACACUGGAACUGAGACACGGUCCAGACUCCUACGGGAGGCAGCAGUGGGGAAUAUUGGACAAUGGGGGCAACCCUGAUCCAGCCAUGCCGCGUGUGUGAAGAAGGCCUUCGGGUUGUAAAGCACUUUAAGCGGGGAGGAAGGCUCUAUGGCUAAUAUCCAUGGGGAUUGACGUUACCCGCAGAAUAAGCACCGGCAAACUUCGUGCCAGCAGCCGCGGUAAUACGAAGGGUGCGAGCGUUAAUCGGAAUUACUGGGCGUAAAGCGCGCGUAGGUGGUUUGGUAAGCGAUAUGUGAAAGCCCCGGGCUUAACCUGGGAACUGCAUGUCGAACUGCCAGGCUAGAGUAUGGUAGAGGGGUGUGGAAUUUCCUGUGUAGCGGUGAAAUGCGUAGAUAUAGGAAGGAACAUCAGUGGCGAAGGCGACACCYCUGGACCGAUACUGACACUGAGGCGCGAAAGCGUGGGUAGCGAACAGGAUUAGAUACCCUGGUAGUCCACGCCGUAAACGAUGUCAACUAGCCGUUGGGGGGCUUGUCYCUUCAGUGGCGGAGCUAACGCGAUAAGUUGACCGCCUGGGGAGUACGGCCGCAAGGUUAAAACUCAAAUGAAUUGACGGGGGCCCGCACAAGCGGUGGAGUAUGUGGUUUAAUUCGACGCACGCGAAAAC